rnacentral:tRNA from 1 species
GAUGUCAAGAUGGUCGCCAUAAACACCCAAGGACA